AACGCCAACAACUUCAAAACACGUGCAGAUUGCCAGCGGAAGUGCCACAAGAGAGGAACUCCCUGAGGGCUCCGUGGACGGAAGCUCGGCCUGCUUUGUGCUGAACGGAGAGAGAGGCCGGUUCCGGAGGAGACCAGGCGCAGAAAGCCUCCAGGCGCCUUCAAGAGGGAGGGGGGGAUUCUGGAAUAAAUCCUUGCCCGAAGGAGA